rnacentral:rRNA from 1 species
AUGAACGCUGGCGGCGCGCCUAACACAUGCAAGUCGAGCGAGCAGUCACUGUCCUUCGGGGUGGUGGCGGGCGAGCGGCGAACGGGUGAGUAACACGUGGGUAACCUGCCCCAGAGACGGGGAUAACCACUGGAAACGGUGGCUAAUACCCGAUGGCCUCAUCUACUCUGCGGGGUGGAUGAGGAAAGGGGCGGCAGUCGAAAGGCUGUCGUACCGCUCUGGGAGGGGCCCGCGGCCUAUCAGCUUGUUGGUGGGGUAACGGCCUACCAAGGCGACGACGGGUAGCUGGCCUGAGAGGGUGGUCAGCCACACGGGGACUGAGACACGGCCCCGACUCCUACGGGAGGCAGCAGUGAGGAAUCUUGCACAAUGGGCGCAAGCCUGAUGCAGCGACGCCGCGUGGAGGAAGAAGCCCUUCGGGGUGUAAACUCCUUUUCUGGGGGAAGAGGGAGGACGGUACCCCAGGAAUAAGCCACGGCUAACUCCGUGCCAGCAGCCGCGGUAAUACGGAGGUGGCGAGCGUUAUCCGGAUUUACUGGGCGUAAAGCGUCUGUAGGCGGUCGUGCAAGUCGGUGGUGAAAUCUCCCGGCUCAACUGGGAGGGGUCCAUCGAAACUGCACGACUCGAGGGCCGGAGAGGGGCAUGGAAUUCCCGGUGUAGCGGUGAAAUGCGCAGAUAUCGGGAGGAACACCAGAGGCGAAGGCGGUGCCCUGGCCGGAACCUGACGCUGAGAGACGAAAGCGUGGGGAGCGAUCGGGAUUAGAUACCCCGGUAGUCCACGCCGUAAACGAUGGGUGCUC